rnacentral:rRNA from 1 species
UGGGGAAUUUUGGACAAUGGGCGAAAGCCUGAUCCAGCCAUGCCGCGUGAGUGAAGAAGGCCUUCGGGUUGUAAAGCUCUUUUAGUCGGAAAGAAAGAGUCACAAUGAAUAAUUGUGAUUUAUGACGGUACCGACAGAAAAAGCACCGGCUAACUACGUGCCAGCAGCCGCGGUAAUACGUAGGGUGCGAGCGUUAAUCGGAAUUACUGGGCGUAAAGGGUGCGCAGGCGGUUUUGCAAGUCAGAUGUGAAAGCCCCGGGCUUAACCUGGGAAUUGCGUUUGAAACUACAAGGCUAGAGUGCAGCAGAGGGGAGUGGAAUUCCAUGUGUAGCAGUGAAAUGCGUAGAGAUGUGGAAGAACACCGAUGGCGAAGGCAGCUCCCUGGGUUGACACUGACGCUCAUGCACGAAAGCGUGGGGAGCAAACA